rnacentral:rRNA from 1 species
CAGUAGCCGCGGUAAUACAGAGGGUGCGAGCGUUAAUCGGAUUUACUGGGCGUAAAGCGUGCGUAGGCGGCUUCUUAAGUCGGAUGUGAAAUCCCUGAGCUUAACUUAGGAAUUGCAUUCGAUACUGGGAAGCUAGAGUAUGGGAGAGGAUGGUAGAAUUCCAGGUGUAGCGGUGAAAUGCGUAGAGAUCUGGAGGAAUACCGAUGGCGAAGGCAGCCAUCUGGCCUAAUACUGACGCUGAGGUACGAAAGCAUGGGGAGCAAACAGGAUUAGAUACCCCUGUAGUCCCUCUCUCUUAUAC